rnacentral:rRNA from 1 species
UACGGAGGAUCCAAGCGUUAUCCGGAUUUAUUGGGUUUAAAGGGUGCGUAGGUGGUUUAUUAAGUCAGGGGUGAAAGACGGCAGCUUAACUGUCGCAGUGCCUUUGAUACUGAUGAACUUGAAUGAACUAGAGGUAGGCGGAAUGUGACAAGUAGCGGUGAAAUGCAUAGAUAUGUCACAGAACACCAAUUGCGAAGGCAGCUUACUAUGGUUUUAUUGACACUGAGGCACGAAAAGCGUGGGGAGUCAAACAGGA